rnacentral:misc_RNA from 1 species
UUUCCGUAGGUGAACCUGCGGAAGGAUCAUUAAUGAGUUGUCAUGGGGUUCGAUGCUGGCAGCCAGUUUUUGGAUGCAUGUGCUUGCCCUAACAAUCAUCUUCUUCCAAACACCUGUGCACAUUUUUGAGGGAGUCUUGAGUUGGUUGCCGCUCUUGGGUGAUUUUCUCACAUUCCCUUAAAUCAUUAUACGCUACUAACAAUGUUGAACGUGCUCUGUGCCGCAAGGCCACUAAUAUAAUACAACUUUUAACAACGGAUCUCUUGGCUCUC